AUUGAACGCUGGCGGCGUGCUUUACACAUGCAAGUCGGACGAGUGGCGAACGGGUGAGUAACGCAUCGGAACGUACCGAGUAAUGGGGGAUAACUGUCCGAAAGGACAGCUAAUACCGCAUAUUAUUCGAGCGGCCGAUGUCGGAUUAGCUGGUUGGCGGGGUAAAGGCCCACCAAGGCGACGAUCAGUAGCGGGUCUGAGAGGAUGAUCCGCCAAACUUGGACUGGGACACGGGCCAGGAUCCUACGGGAGGCAGCAGUGGGGAAUUUUGGAAAAUGGGCGGAAGCCGGAACCAGCCAUUCCGCGGGUCUGAAGAAGGCCUUCGGGGUGUAAAGCUCUGUUAAUCGGGACGCGGUACCGGAAUAGAAAGCCACGGCUAACUACGUGCCAGCAGCCGCGGUAAUAC
rnacentral:rRNA from 1 species